rnacentral:lncRNA from 1 species
AGAUUUUCGUAUUAUUAAAUUAUUUUUAAUAAUUCAGCAUUCGAAUCGGUAAUCAGCUUUCUUAAAUUAAUAUGACCUAUACUAUCUGAAAUAUAUAAAAAUUAAUUUUUAUAAUUUUUGACAUUACUGAUUUUUUAAAACAAAUAAUCUUAAAAUAAACGACUAAAAAUAAAAAUUUCAUAAAAAAAUUAGGAUAAAAGACUUAAAUUUCAGAUUAACUAUACUGAUCUUACUUUAAAUAAUAAAAAAAAAAUUCAUACCAUAAAAUUUACAAAUGCAUCACAUUGCCCAUUCCAAUUAUUAAUUUUGAAAAUAUUUUUAUCACUAGUCAAAUAAUGUCAAAAAGUAUAAAAUUUGAGUAUUAAAUACUUUUAAUUGUGUAAAUUAUAUCUAACGGAACUGAUUAUCGAUUUAAAUAUCUCAUCCUUAAAAAUAAUUUGAUAGUUUUGAUGCUUGCGUACUAUCGAAACUAACAAGUCGGACUCCCGUAUCAUAUAUAUUAACCCAUUAGUAACCCAUGUUAAUAUUUUGACCAUCAUCGACCGUCUCUGGAGCAAGUGGCAAAGGACUUAGUGGUUGGUACCCGAGGUCCUAAGUUCGAAUCCUAGUUGAUUCGUAUUUUCUAGCAAAUUAAGUUUAUCUCUAAAUGAAAUAAACGAAGCGGAUAGCGUGCUACCUAUCUCUCAAAAAAAAAAAAAAAUUUGACCAUCACGUGCGGUAGCU